rnacentral:rRNA from 1 species
UAUUGCCAGUUACCAUCAUUAAGGUUGGGGACUCUGGCGAGACUGCCGUGGAUAACACGGAGGAAGUGGGGACGACGUCAAAUCAUCAUGCCCCUUAUGCCCUGGGCUACACACGUGCUACAAUGGUUGGUACAACGAGUUGCGAGUCGGUGACGGCGAGCUAAUCUCUUAAAGCCAAUCUCAGUUCGGAUUGUAGGCUGCAGCUCGCCUACAUGAAGUCGGAAUCGCUAGUAAUCGCGGAUCAGCACGCCGCGGUGAAUACGUUCCCGGGCCUU